AACAUAAUUACUUCAUUGAUUUCUUACAAUCAAAUACUGCCAACUAGCAUUACUCCCAAUCUUGCAUCAUUGAAAACAAAGGGCAUUUCCUCCUUUGUAUUUUCAAAUGAUACAUUAUACAAUAAACAAAGGUAGAAUUUAAAAUGCACCCUGAUUAAUUAUGUAAACUGGUAAUUUGUUUAAAAAAGCAUAAUAAUUUGGUUCCUUUCUUCAUAAAAUGGAAAUUUAAAUAUUUCUCCUGAUAGUCUUGAGGUUAUCAUUAGCAGUAGUGCAAAGUGUGGCACAUACAGUUUCAUCGAGAAGGGUGUGUAUCUUACACACCUUAUUUAAACAAACAAAAUGUGCAUUAACAAAAUGAACACAGUCAAUGCAUGAUAGAAAGCUUGUUUCAAAAAGAAGGCAGCUCCUCGGACCACCAUAUUAUUUAGGUUUUGCAUUAUCGUUUAUGGCAUUAUAGAUUAGUUAUGCAUAACGUACUUUUAAACAUAUUAACCCUGAAGAUAAGAAAAGUAAUUUUUGCUUGAAAAAAAUUAUUCCAGGUAGCCAUUUGGUUUGUAUCAGGAGAAAGUGAACCCUCUAUGAGUCUAGUGUCUGCCAAGGCAGAAUCAUUAGCGCAAGUCAGUGAAUCAGAUACGAGACACAUUUCACAAUGACUGUUUACCAAGCCCUGGCAAUGCCUCGUCUCUCACACUCCGCCAGAUGACGAAGCAUUUCUGGGAUGACGCUUUUAUGUGGUUUUUCCCUUUUCAUUUUUUUUUUGUUGGAUUAACUAUUACUGUAUUAUUUCCUCUUUUCCCCUCCUCUUCUGUGGCCUUCCAUUUCAAUUAUUCAUAAAUCGUUUCAGAAUAUCCUCAGAGAGCUCCAUAAGGGGAAGUUCUGGAGAUGGAAAAUCCAAGGGAGGAAGAUUGGGGAUUGGAAUGUCCUUGGCUUUCCAGGGACAUGGAUGAAUCUGGAAACCAUCAUUCUCAGCAAACUGACACAAGAACAGUAAAACAAACACUGCAUGUUCUCACUCACAGGCGGGUGUUCAACAAUCAGAACACAUGGACACAGGGAGGUGAGCAUCACACAUUGGGGUCUGUUGAGGGGGGAUGGGGAGGGGCAGCGGGGAGUACUGAGGUUCAGAAGGGAUAACAUGGGGAGAAAUGCCAUAUAUAGGUGAUGGGUGGGAUGGAGGCAGCAAACCCCACUGCCAUGUAUGCACCUGUCCAACAGUCCUGCAUGUUUUACACAUGUAACCCAGAACCUAAAGUGCAAUAAAAUAUAUUUUAAAAAUACAUGUGUAGAUGACCAGUGUGGAAAUAGGGAUGAAGGAAUAUACUAG
ensembl:lncRNA